CACUCAAAAUGCUGACAUGAUGAGUGGAGAGCGAGCAGGCAGAGGAGGGGCUGGGUGGAAACCUGCAGACAGACAAACGAGGAGAAUGAGUAGAGCCAGGAGGAAAGAAAAGUGUUGCCUGUGUUCAGUGAGCACAUGUGCCGAUCUUCAAACACUGCAGUAAGCUACAGGGGCCUACACGGGACAAUAAUUGAUCCUCAUGUUCGCAUGAGAUCACUAAAUACAUGCAGCGAAGCCCAGAGGACACAGGACUGAGGUUGUUGUUCUUGCAUCUGUGGACAGGAUCGUCUGUUGUUCUGGAAAAACAAACCUGAAGACGCUCUGCAGAGAAACGUAAAAGUCUGCUGCCACCUGUUGUUCACUCAGAGCAUCGCAGAUGCCAUGGUUUUUACAACAUAUAAAUAACCUUUAAUAUCAGUUAUCACUUUAGUAGGAACACUAAAUGGUUGUAUGUUUGGUUUAGUUUCCAGAAUGAGUUUUAGUUCAGUUUUUAUUUGUUUCUUUAUUUGUUUUAUUUGUUUGUUACGAGUUUAAGUGUUCUGUAAAAACAUUUGAGCCAGAGUAA